AUGAGGACUUACAUUAAGACGCCCAGUGUGCACGCCCAGUUCAUAACCCAUUCGGUGAGGAAGAGAAGAUGGAAAACCAGCUUUUCUUUUGUGAAUACUUGUAUGACGCUCUCUAUGUCCUGCCAGAAAAACUGUUCACAGUGUCUGCUCUACAGCAUCCUGUUUAAGAGUACAGUAUCCGGGUUGUGCACCUGGGUUGGCCGUAAACAGGUCAUCACUUAUCUGUUGCCUUUGGAUCAGCUCCAACCGCCAGCCCUUCAAACAAGCACAUGGUAAGUGGCUGUGACCCGUGCAGCUCCUACAGUUUGGAAGGACUGCAAGUUCGUUUAUCUCUGCAAUUAGUUCAUAAAACAGUAGCUUUUCCUGAGCUUUGUGCUUGGGGCAGAAAGCAAUGAUUUUUUAAAUUCAUCCUUAUGUCUCAUUUUUACAAGUUGACAAAUACUUUUUGUAAUAGCCAGGUGUGGCAGUGCACACCUGUAAUCCCAGCACGCAGGAGGCUGAGGCUGAAGGAUCACCGCAGUUAGAGGCCAGCCUGGGCUACAUUGGGAGUGUGAGACCAGCCUCAACCUGAGUGAGGCCCUGUCCAAAAACAAAACUUUUGGUAAUGGUUUAAAGUUGAGAUUUUUGAUAGUACAAAAUGGUGAUAAAGACGAUGACAGGGUGAAUAUUUCUUAAAUGUCAUAAUACAGGGGUUAUUGUCAAUCAGUUUUUAAACUCAUAGGCCACUUUGAAGAACUUAUGAAUACCAGAGAACUUAAUUUGCCCAUACUCACACAAAAAUAUGCACUAUGUUUCAAGAGCUGCAAAGAUUUCAUGAAAAUCAGUGGACCUCAGAUUUUAAAUAUCUUCCAGAGAGAGAAAUGGAGACAGCCGUUUCAUCUCAAGAACAUAGAGAGUUGGUAAAGUCCAACUCCUGAUUAGAUGACAACUUUCACUUGGGCCGGGGAGUUAACUCAGUGAUUCCAUCUCCUGCCUUGCAAGCGCAAGGAUCCAAGUUCUAUCCCUGGCACCAAAAACAAAACAAAAACAAA
rnacentral:lncRNA from 1 species